rnacentral:tRNA from 1 species
GCUGUUAUAGCUCAGUAGGUAGAGUGCGUCCUUGGUAAGGACGAGGUCACCGGUUCAAUCCCGGUUAACAGCUCCA